GCCCUUUCCGUGCCUGCAGCCUCCGUGCCGGGGCCCGGGGCGCGCCCGGGGCGCAGUCUGCGCGUGGUGGGCCGCGGCGGAGGCCUGCGUUAGGGUGGGUGCCCGGUCGCUGAAGCCGGGACGGCGCUGUCACCACUCCCUUGGGGCACGCGAGCAGCCCGCGGUGACCAGGAACGUAGUCGCAUCGUUAGCCGGAGGAGAGUUUUCAUGUUUUUAGGAUUUGGGGAUAAUAACUUAAAAAAAAGCUUUCACACAUAUUAGUGCUCUAAGAGCUUCUAGAUUUGGUACUAGCUCUGUAUAGCAGUCCUUGUAGCGUGAGUCUGUAUUGCCUGCUGCUUCCUCAGGGGCACUUCACAUGGCAUUUGAAUCUCAUCUCCUGUCCAUCGUGAGGAAAGCUGUUGAGGGAUCAGGGAUGUGAAUUGGGUUAAUUCCAACUAAACAGUAGUCUGCGGAAUAUUUUACAGAAAUACAUUGCAACUUAAGAAAGUAGACUUUAAAAAUCUGAGCAAAACUGGGCCUGAAAAAACAUCUCACGAACAACUAAUUAAUAUGAAGAAUAAAUAAAACAAAGAAAGAGGUGGCAGUGAUUUGGUGACAUGACUGAAAGAAAGUCAUCGCAAUAUGUAGAAAAGGCUCCAGACUGCCAGCUUGUGAAUCCAGCCUGUUCCAGGGUCCUGUGUCGACCAUGCAAACUUAAUAAUCAAAACCUUAAAAUAAAGGUCAGGAGUACUAAAUUUGGAUGUCCA
rnacentral:lncRNA from 1 species